rnacentral:rRNA from 1 species
ACUCCUACGGGAGGCAGCAGUGGGGAAUUUUGGACAAUGGGCGAAAGCCUGAUCCAGCAAUGCCGCGUGCAGGAUGAAGGCCUUCGGGUUGUAAACUGCUUUUGUACGGAACGAAAAAGCUCCUUCUAAUACAGGGGGCCCAUGACGGUACCGUAAGAAUAAGCACCGGCUAACUACGUGCCAGCAGCCGCGGUAAUACGUAGGGUGCGAGCGUUAAUCGGAAUUACUGGGCGUAAAGCGUGCGCAGGCGGUUAUGUAAGACAGAUGUGAAAUCCCCGGGCUCAACCUGGGAACUGCAUUUGUGACUGCAUGGCUAGAGUACGGUAGAGGGGGAUGGAAUUCCGCGUGUAGCAGUGAAAUGCGUAGAUAUGCGGAGGAACACCGAUGGCGAAGGCAAUCCCCUGGGCCUGCACUGACGCUCAUGCACGAAAGCGUGGGGAGCAAACAGGAUUAGAUACCCUGGUAGUCCACGCCCUAAACGAUGUCAACUGGUUGUUGGGUCUUCACUGACUCAGUAACGAAGCUAACGCGUGAAGUUGACCGCCUGGGGAGUACGGCCGCAAGGUUGAAACUGAAAGGAAUUGACGG